CCUACGGGAGGCAGCAGUGGGGAAUCUUGCGCAAUGGGCGAAAGCCUGACGCAGCAACGCCGCGUGCGGGAAGAAGGCUCUCGGGUUGUAAACCGCUUUCAGCAGGAACGAAAAUGACGGUACUUGCAGAAGAAGGUGCGGCCAACUACGUGCCAGCAGCCGCGGUGACACGUAGGCACCAAGCGUUGUCCGGAUUUAUUGGGCGUAAAGAGCUCGUAGGCGGUUCGGUAAGUCAGGUGUGAAAACUUUGGGCUCAACCCAAAGCCUGCAUCUGAUACUGCUGUGACUAGAGUUCGGUAGGGGAGCGGGGAAUUCCUAGUGUAGCGGUGAAAUGCGCAGAUAUUAGGAGGAACACCGGUGGCGAAGGCGCCGCUCUGGGCCGAAACUGACGCUGAGGAGCGAAAGCGUGGGUAGCAAACAGGAUUAGAUACCCUGGUAGUCCACGCCGUAAACGUUGGGCACUAGGUGUGGGUUUCAACCAACGAAAUCCGCGCCGUCGCUAACGCAUUAAGUGCCCCGCCUGGGGAGGACGGCCGCGAGUAACGUACAANAGAUGACG
rnacentral:rRNA from 1 species